AGAGUUUGAUCCUGGCUCAGGAUGAACGCUAGCUACAGGCUUAACACAUGCAAGUCGAGGGGCAUCAGGAAGAAAGCUUGCUUUCUUUGCUGGCGACCGGCGCACGGGUGAGUAACACGUAUCCAACCUGCCCUUUACUCGGGGAUAGCCUUUCGAAAGAAAGAUUAAUACCCGAUGGCAUAAUGAUUCCGCAUGGUUUCAUUAUUAAAGGAUUCCGGUAAAGGAUGGGGAUGCGUUCCAUUAGGUUGUUGGUGAGGUAACGGCUCACCAAGCCUUCGAUGGAUAGGGGUUCUGAGAGGAAGGUCCCCCACAUUGGAACUGAGACACGGUCCAAACUCCUACGGGAGGCAGCAGUGAGGAAUAUUGGUCAAUGGGCGCUAGCCUGAACCAGCCAAGUAGCGUGAAGGAUGAAGGCUCUAUGGGUCGUAAACUUCUUUUAUAUAAGAAUAAAGUGCAGUAUGUAUACUGUUUUGUAUGUAUUAUAUGAAUAAGGAUCGGCUAACUCCGUGCCAGCAGCCGCGGUAAUACGGAGGAUCCGAGCGUUAUCCGGAUUUAUUGGGUUUAAAGGGAGCGUAGGUGGACUGGUAAGUCAGUUGUGAAAGUUUGCGGCUCAACCGUAAAAUUGCAGUUGAUACUGUCAGUCUUGAGUACAGUAGAGGUGGGCGGAAUUCGUGGUGUAGCGGUGAAAUGCUUAGAUAUCACGAAGAACUCCGAUUGCGAAGGCAGCUCACUGGACUGCAACUGACACUGAUGCUCGAAAGUGUGGGUAUCAAACAGGAUUAGAUACCCUGGUAGUCCACACAGUAAACGAUGAAUACUCGCUGUUUGCGAUAUACAGUAAGCGGCCAAGCGAAAGCAUUAAGUAUUCCACCUGGGGAGUACGCCGGCAACGGUGAAACUCAAAGGAAUUGACGGGGGCCCGCACAAGCGGAGGAACAUGUGGUUUAAUUCGAUGAUACGCGAGGAACCUUACCCGGGCUUAAAUUGCAGUGGAAUGAUGUGGAAACAUGUCAGUGAGCAAUCACCGCUGUGAAGGUGCUGCAUGGUUGUCGUCAGCUCGUGCCGUGAGGUGUCGGCUUAAGUGCCAUAACGAGCGCAACCCUUAUCUUCAGUUACUAACAGGUUAUGCUGAGGACUCUGGAGAGACUGCCGUCGUAAGAUGUGAGGAAGGUGGGGAUGACGUCAAAUCAGCACGGCCCUUACGUCCGGGGCUACACACGUGUUACAAUGGGGGGUACAGAAGGCAGCUAGCGGGUGACCGUAUGCUAAUCCCAAAAGCCUCUCUCAGUUCGGAUCGAAGUCUGCAACCCGACUUCGUGAAGCUGGAUUCGCUAGUAAUCGCGCAUCAGCCACGGCGCGGUGAAUACGUUCCCGGGCCUUGUACACACCGCCCGUCAAGCCAUGGGAGCCGGGGGUACCUGAAGUACGUAACCGCAAGGAUCGUCCUAGGGUAAAACUGGUGACUGGGGCUAAGUCGUAACAAGGUAGCCGUACCGGAAGGUGCGGCUG
rnacentral:rRNA from 2 species